rnacentral:rRNA from 1 species
UACAGAGGUGGCAAGCGUUGUUCGGAAUUACUGGGCGUAAAGGGCGCGUAGGCGGCCUGCUAAGUCGAACGUGAAAUCCCCGGGCUCAACCCGGGAACUGCGUCCGAUACUGGCAGGCUUGAAUCCGGGAGAGGGAUGUGGAAUUCCAGGUGUAGCGGUGAAAUGCGUAGAUAUCUGGAGGAACACCGGUGGCGAAGGCGGCAUCCUGGACCGGUAUUGACGCUGAUGCGCGAAAGCCAGGGGAGCAAACGGG